rnacentral:lncRNA from 1 species
AAAAUGUGAAGUGAAACUAGAUAUCAUAAAAUCAGUACCAACUUUCAACGGGAAUCAUGAGGAAUAUGUGUCUUGGAGACAAUCUGCUCUAGAUGCGUACGAAGUUUUCAAAAACUACUCUGGUAGUCAGACACACUACGAGGCUGUGGCCAUCAUAAAAAAUAAAAUCUGUGGAACAGCUCGAGCAUUGCUCACAUCGCACAACACGGUGCUCAAUUUUGAUGCAAUCAUAGCUAGACUCGAUUGCACAUAUGCGGACAAAACAUCCCUACGAGUAUUACGUCAACACUUGGAAAUGGUUAGGCAGGGUGAAACCGAUCUAAUGGAAUAUUAUGACGAAGUCGAGAGAAAGCUCACGCUCGUCACUAACAAAGUGGUCAUGACUCAUAAUGAGGAGGCAGCUACCAUUCUCAACGAGGAAAUUAGGAAUGAUGCUUUACACGCAUUCAUAGCGGGCCUCAAGAGGCCGCUAAAAUUGUUCGUUCUCCCGGCACAGCCCAAGGAUUUGCCAUCCGCCUUAGCUCUAGCUCGCGAGGCCGAAAAUAGCAUUGAGAGAAGCGCAUUUGCCGCUACGUAUGCAAAGGUGAUCGAGGAUAAAAACCAUUCAGGCGACGGCAAUAGACAGGGUCAUCGGGCCCAGGCCAGACAAGGUAGAGGUCAGGAAAAGAACCCAAAUUUUGUGGGAAAAAGUAAUCAAAAUAGGCAGCAACAGGGUGAUCCUUGGCCAAAGCCAAACGAUAAAGAGGCCCCACAACAAAACAAAGUGCAGCCUAUGGAAGUUGACCCAUCGAUGUCUAGGUUUAGGCAACAGGCCAAUUGGGGGAAACCACAGAGCGACGUCACACAGGGCGAAGCUCAGAAAAGGCGGAACACGUCAGAUCGUAUAUCUGGGCAAAGACGCCAACGGCUAAAUAAUAUAAUACAGCAGGCCCCUAACCAAGGGGAACAAGAAUAUGCAAACUUAGCCGAGCCCGCGGUUGCGGAAUUUGACGAAGAAAGUGACUCGGCUAGCGGCAACGACCUGUUGAAUUUUUUAGGGAGCGAUCCCAAUUGCCGUUCGUCGAGCGACAGUUGGCUGGCAAAACACUAAAAAUUUUAAUCGACACUGGUGCGGCUAAAAAUUACGUAAAGCCCAUAAAGGAGCUGAAAAACGUAACUUCGGUCGACGCCCCCUUCACCGUGAGCUCGAUACAUGGCUCCAGUGAAAUAAAAAACAAGUGCCUAAUGAAUAUUUUCGGGCAAAACGCCCCAUUUUUUUUGUUAGACACUCUAGCUACGUUUGAUGCCAUUAUAGGUUCCGAUUUGCUAACGCGAGCGGGAGCGGCAUUGAACCUGCGCAGCAGAACAAUCAGAUACGGAAACGCAACUGAACAACUUAGGUUCCACAACUGUGAAAACGUAAAUUUCACCAAAGUCGAUGACCUGGUGGUCCCAGGCUCGGUAAAAUCCGAGUUCAAAAAGAUGAUACUGAAGAGAAUUCAAGUUUUUUCGACCUCUAACGAGGCGCUUCCCUUUAACACCUCAGUCGUCGCCACCAUCCGAACUGUGAAUGACGAACCAGUCUACUCGAAAUUAUACCCCUACCCUAUGGGAGCAGCAGACUUCGUUAACAAAGAACUCAAAGAACUGCUGAAGGACGGCAUAAUCAGGCCAUCUAGGUCGCCAUACAACAGCCCAAUUUGGGUUGUAGACAAAAAGAAAUCUGACGUCAAAGGCAACAGGAAAAAGCGGCUGGUAAUCGACUUCAGAAAACUGAACGAGCGAACAAUUGCCGAUCGAUACCCUAUGCCGAGCAUACCCAUGAUUCUA